GAUGAACGCUGGCGGCGUGCUUAACACAUGCAAGUCGAACGUGAAGGGCGCAGUAAUGUGCCUGGAAAGUGGCAAACGGGUGAGUAACACGUAGAUACCUGCCUCGCAGUGGGGGAUAACCACGGGAAACUGUGGCUAAUACCGCAUGGUCUUGAUGAAGCGGGAGCUUGAACAAGUAAAGCUUAAUGUGCUGCGAGAGGGGUCUGCGCCCGAUUAGCUAGUUGGUGAGGUAAAGGCUCACCAAGGCUGGGAUCGGUAGCUGGUCUGAGAGGACGAUCAGCCACACGGGAACUGAGACACGGUCCCGACUCCUACGGGGGGCAGCAGUGAGGAAUAUUGGGCAAUGGACGCAAGUCUGACCCAGCAACGCCGCGUGGAGGACGAAGGCUUUUCGGGUUGUAAACUCCUUUUAUGGGGAAAGCGAAGGAUGGUACCCCAGGAAUAAGUCACGGCUAACUACGUGCCA
rnacentral:rRNA from 1 species